AGUGAACGCUGGCGGUAGGCCUAACACAUGCAAGUCGAACGGCAGCACAGUAAGAGCUUGCUCUUACGGGUGGCGAGUGGCGGACGGGUGAGGUAUACAUCGGAAUCUACUUUUUCGUGGGGGAUAACGUAGGGAAACUUACGCUAAUACCGCAUACGACCUACGGGUGAAAGCAGGGGAUCUUCGGCCCUUGCGCGAUUGAAUGAGCCGAUGUCGGAUUAGCUAGUUGGCGGGGUAAAGGCCCACCAAGGCGACGAUCCGUAGCUGGUCUGAGAGGAUGAUCAGCCACACUGGAACUGAGACACGGUCCAGACUCCUACGGGAGGCAGCAGUGGGGAAUAUUGGACAAUGGGCGCAAGCCUGAUCCAGCCAUACCGCGUGGGUGAAGAAGGCCUUCGGGUUGUAAAGCCCUUUUGUUGGGAAAGAAAAGCAGCAGGUUAAUACCCCGCUGUUCUGACGGUACCCAAAGAAUAAGCACCGGCUAACUUCGUG
rnacentral:rRNA from 1 species